rnacentral:rRNA from 1 species
UACGUAGGGGGCAAGCGUUGUCCGGAUUUAUUGGGCGUAAAGAGCGUGUAGGCGGCCAGACAGGUCAGCUGUGAAAACUCGAGGCUCAACCUCGAGACGUCGGUUGAAACCGUCUGGCUAGAGUCCGGAAGAGGAGAGUGGAAUUCCCGGUGUAGCGGUGAAAUGCGCAGAUAUCAGGAGGAACACCAAUUGCGAAGGCAGCUCGCUGGGACGUUACUGACGCUGAGACGCGAAAGCGUGGGGAGCAAACAGG